rnacentral:rRNA from 1 species
AUGGACAUGAACGCGGUGACACUAAUGCCCCGCCAUUUCAUAAGGUGGCGAUGGACUUGGGACGCUGAUGACGCGUUGGCGCCGCAGACAACAAACGCAGUUUUGGCUGUGCAUGACGAGACACCGGACUCAGCCAUGGAAGCCGUGAGGCACAUUGUGUUGACAAAGAACUAUGCUGAGCUAAUUGAUGAAGUGUGCAAGAGUGAUGAGACAGCGAGAGUCGCAGAAAAACACAGGAAGGCCCUGAAAAGAGAGCUUGAUGAGAUCAAGAAGAUGAAAGCUGAGGAAGCCUUACACAGGUUCCUCCGCACAUCAAGUGUGCCUUCGUCCACGGGGCCAUCAUCUGAAAACACGGAGAUAGGAUCUGGAACAGCAAGCACACAAACCCAGGUCAGGAACCCACCACGUUCCAUCACAAAGGGGCGUCCAAAAGAGAUAAGAUACAAAUCGGGAUUAGAGAUUCAAGCAAAACACAAGAAAAAAAGAAAGGGACGGGCAAUCCGUAAUCAACAUUGGGGCACUGUGACAUGGUCCUUGGUGACAUUUUAUUUUGUAAUCUAG